rnacentral:lncRNA from 1 species
CCCCAUAAGGACUUUCCCCACCCCAUAGUGCCGUACCCCCACCCGAUAGGGUUAUACCCCCCCCCAUAGGGUUAUACCCCUACCCCAUAGGGUCGUACCGUCCCCCACCCCACAAGGACACCCCGCACCCACCCCACAGCCCCCCCACCUGUGCCCCUCAGGCAGGACUCGCAGCCCCCACAGCCAGCGCUGGAAAUGGGGCCGGGGCUGCAGGCGGUACGAGCGGCACGAGGACUGCAGGGCCAGCAGCUGCGCCAGCACCUCGAACUCCUGUGGCACCACGGGGACAGCGGGAAUGGCAUGGGGACACUGGGAUGGGGAUGGGGACAUUGGGAUGGGGACACUGGGAUGGGGACACUGGGAGUGGGAUGGGGACACUGGGAUACGGGAACAUGGAGAUAUGGGGACAUGGGGACACUGGGCUACGGGGCCCCGUGGAUUUGGGAUGUGGGGCGGCUGUGGGGUCUCACCGCCUCGGUCAGCGUGAGCUGCUCGGCCACCUCCUGCGCCUGGAAGGACAGGAUCUCCAGCGGGUCGGCGUCCCCGUCCCCGUCCCCGACCCCAUAAGGGUCCCCGGGGGGCUCGGGGGGCUCGGGGGGAUCCCGCAGCUCCCGCAGCCGCAGCCCCACGUCCGAAUCCGGCCCCAAAGCCGACCCCAAACGCUCCGCCAGCGCCGCCGCCGCCGCGUCCCCAAAAUCCUCGGGCAGGAGGCGCAGGACGUCGUGGGGCCGCGCGAAGGCCCGGAAGGUGCCGAGGAAGGCGGGGACGAAGGCGCCGUCGCCCAGCGCGCGGCUCUCCAGCAGGUGCCGCACCAGGCGGGGCAGCGGGGCGGCGCGCAGCAGGCGGCUGUGGGGCGCCCCAUAGCGCCGGGGGGCCGCCCAGAACACAGCGUCGGCCUCGCGCAGCUCCGUCUGCUACGGGGUGGGGGCAGCGGCGUGGGGUCAGAUUUGGGGUCAGCCCAUAGGGUCACCCCGUAGGGUCAUCCCAAUGGGUCAUCCCAUGAGGUCACCCCAUAGGGUCAUCCCAAUGGGUCACCUUUGGGGUCAUCCCAUAGGGUCACCCCAUA